GAAUAAGUACAAUAACGUUGUUGCGUCAUACGAACCAUUGGGUAAUAUAGAUGGACAAUUUGAGUAAAAUGUUCCAAGACGUAAUGGGUCGCCUUUAAGCGUAAAUCUGUUUCAAAUCAACAUUGGAAUCGUCCUAUUAUGCUCAUGGCUCCUAAACAAAAUUUUGGCCUAAUUCCAUUGAGUAAAGUGCUGGAAUACUUGGGCAGACGUAUUUAA